rnacentral:lncRNA from 1 species
ACUCUGUAGUCACCCAGGCUGGAAUGCAGUGGUGCGAUCUUGGCUCACUGCAACCUCCACCUCCCAGAUGCAAGCGAUUCUUGUGCCUCAGCCUCCCGAGUAGCUGGGAUUAAAGGCAUGCGCCACCACGCCCAGGAGACAGCUUCCCAAGGCUGGAAAGAGGGGAGUGCGGAACAUGCCUCCACCAUACCACUGCCCACCUCCUGUGACCUCUGCAGCAAAACCUGAAGCCCCAAAGAGGCAGCUUCUCAAAGUAAAAGUGGAAUGAAGGUCAGAGUCGGGGUUUCACCAUGUUGCCCGGCCUGGUCUCGAACUCCUGGCCUCAAGUCUCUCUGGCUCAGCCUUCCAAAGUGCCAGGAUAACAGGCGUGAACCACGACACCCAGCUUGCUUUGUGUACUUCUAGGGGCUCAGGUGAACCACAUGAGUUCCUGGAUGUGCUUCCAUGUUUCACAGUGAAUUCAUGUUUUUGGUCCAAUCAUGACCAUUUAGACUGUUUAAGAAGGCUGUGUACCAGCUUUAAUAUUGUAUUUUAUGAUAUUAGUGAUCCCUGAAUUUUAUUUGAAAAAAUAUUAUUUUACUGAGUGAUUUAGUAGGCUUGAUCAUUUUCCUUGCAGCUUUCAUAUUUUGUGACACACUGAUUUAAGAAUCAAGUCUAUAUCUGAAUGUGAAAAAUCUGCAAUGAGGAUAGCAAACAAUUAUAUUGUUUUAAUAGAAAAAUUAUUUGAUAAUUUCCAUGUAUUGAUGAUUUCAGUAGAAUCUAUUCUGCAUUUAACCAACAAUCAGUAGUUCCCAAGCUAUUCCGUAGUUUUAGCUUUAACACAUAGUACAUGCUUAAUAAACAUUAGCUGAAUGAAUGAAUGAAUGAAUGACUAAAGACUUUCAGGACCUGGAAGGGAGGAUGUAAAGAACCCAGGGCCAAGUG